rnacentral:rRNA from 1 species
UACAGAGGGGGCAAGCGUUAUUCGGAAUUAUUGGGCGUAAAGGGCGCGUAGGCGGCCAGGCAAGUGGAAGGUGAAAUCCCUCGGCUUAACCAAGGAACUGCCCUCCAAACUGCUUGGCUUGAGACCGGGAGAGGUGAGUGGAAUUCCCAGUGUAGCGGUGAAAUGCGUAGAUAUCAUUUGGAACGCCAAUGGUGAAAACAGCUCGCUGGGAAUGAUCUGACGCUGAGACGCGAAAGCCAGGGGAGCGAACGGG